UCUUUGAUUGAAUUACAGAGAAUGGCUUAAGGACAUCUUUAUCUUUCAGAGAUCUAAAAAUAAAGACCAGAUAACACUGAUUUGUAUUAUCUGAGACUCUCUCUUAAAGGGACCGGGGCAGUAGCAGAGACAGCACAAAGGCCAGGUCCUCAAUCGUAUUAAUAAUUUCAAGGUGUCUUCCAUUCACUAUGAAUUCCCUGUCUCCAUCAUGAUGCUCACUUAUUAACUUUUCAGGUUAGGCUGCAUAUUGCUUGGUGUAUGUUUAGAGAACUCUCUAUUCUCUAAAUCUAUAUAAAUGCUGUCUAGAGGAAACAGGUGUUCCCCCUAUUUUUAUGGGUGAAAUUUAGACAGUUUGCAGGCUGUCUGCAAGGCUGAGGAGGAGUGGGCAGGGUGAUAUACAGAAGUAGAAAUUUGUAAUGGGAGUAAUAUACAAAAAGAUGAAAUGCAUCAAGUUCCUAGAGGACAGUUUGUGACUAGUGGUGUGCUAUUUGAAUUCUAGGAAGACUCAUAAUAAAUUGUAAAAUGGGCCUACUUAAGACUGAAAGGGCAUGAAUAAACAAAUUUGAUAAAGGACUGAUACACUUUAAAUUCACUAUAUUGCAAUUGUAAUGUAAGGAGAUGGCCUUAUCUUCAAACUCUGGGGAAGAUAAUAUAAAUUUCCAUAAGAUUGAGCUGAAGAAUUUUAUUUCCACUUUAUUUUGAAGUAGGCUGGGAGUGAGAAGGUUUAUGUAAACACGUGUACUCUUUACAUAAGUGACAGAAAAGCAGAAAAGAAAAAUAACUCAAGGCAGUUUAGAGGAGGCUAUUAUGAUUAUACAACCUGCCUCCCAAGGACUUUUAAAGGCAACAGGAAUAAGAAUUUAGAAAAAGUUAUUUAAAUUCAUUGUUUUAAUGAAUUCAACUGAAAAUACACAAUAUGAGUCCAGAGAAGUCAAAGCUUUCAACUUUUCACGGGCACGAUAGCUUAGGUGGUUUGGAAAUAAGAAAGAGGAAAAUAAUGGAAUCAAUUUCACUGAGUUAACAUGAGGCAGGAUGGUAUACAGUGUGUGAAGG